rnacentral:rRNA from 1 species
AUGGUGCGUCCCAUGUCCCCUCCGCGCCCAGCCAGGCGCUCCCCUCCGGGCAGGUGGCCCGACGUUCUUCCCUCCUCCAGGACGUCGCGUGGUCGCAUCCCGGCGAUGCUGAUUGGCUGCUGCUACAACUGUGGGAGUGAGGAGCACAUCUCCGCCAUGUGCAUGAACCCGCCGCUCUGUGUGCGCUGUGGCGAGGUCGGCCACAUCUCCAGGGAUUGCUCUGCUCCCCGCCCUCGUCCGCGUAGCUCUUCCCCCGUGGAUCUGCCGCGGCCCCCGCCGGCUCUCCGUCAUCGCCCCCUUCCCCCUCGCGCCCCGCUCCGAUGGAUUCGCGCCGGCCGCAGCCGCUCGCGUCGAUCCCUUCGUCGCCCUCGUCCCCGACUAUGA